ensembl:lncRNA
ACUGUCAAAACGGGAAGGAUUGGCCCCAAAGUCUCUUACCGCAUGACUGCCUCAGACGUGCGUACAUCUGUUAACUCUGUAGGAGCUGUAGAGGGAAAUAAGGCUGCCGAUAACUCAGAAGCUCGCUGUCCCGUCAAGAGGUGGGGGCUGCGGGCCUCGAGAAGAGAAUUUGAGAGGAGACAGCAGACUUCCACAUUUAAUCAUCUCGUGUGGGUUUUCAUCCUGCAUUAUCACCCUGCGUUCACCUGGACAAGCUGGUGCCCUGACCCGUAGAGGAAUGACUCCUAGGUGCUGCAGUCAGCAAGUGGAAAAACCACCACUUGACUUCGGGCCUUCCAGGGCAGAAUCCAGCUUCCUUUUUUCAACUUUGUUCUGCUGAGACAGGGCUUAUCUCAGAGACAGCAAGAAACAACGCCAAGUCUGACUGAUCAGCAGUGGCUGCCUGAGGGGCUGCGGGAAGAAGGAACUUGAAGCUGGAUCCAGAUUCCGCAGGAACGAGUUUGGUAAUCCAUUAGUAAUGUCUGCCAUGACUUGCUAUGGAGAACCGAGCAGUGACCCUCGGGGCCCAGGGUCCUCAGGUGGAUGCAACGUGACUGCUCGUGCAGAGGGCUGAGCACAGAGCUGGGC